rnacentral:rRNA from 1 species
AUCUACAACCACACCACCCUGAACACACUCGAUCUCAUCUGAUCUUGGAGGCUAAGGAAGGUUGGGCCUGGUUAGUAAUUGGAUGGGAGACUUAACUACAUCCAUUUUGAAAAUA